ACAUGGCUUCUGGGAAUCCUAUUGGCUUUCUUUCAUCUGCUUUAUGACAUCAUUCCUCCCUCAACCAAUCAGCACCAGAUAAAGUCUUGAGGUUGCCGUGUGUGACCAAAUGUGCCUCAGUACUGAGCAUCUUUGAUCCUGCACAGACGUGAUUUUUUUUUACUGCGAAACCUAACAACCCACUCUCUCAUCCCUUUAUCCAGAUCCUACUCCUGUUUUGUCCCCAUUCCUUUAUCCAGAUCCUACUCCUGUUUUGUCCCCAUCCCUUUACCUAGAUCCUACUCCUGUUUUGUCCCCAUCCCUUUACCCAGAUCCUACUCCUAUUUUGUCCCCAUCCCUCUAUCCAGAUCCUACUCCUGUUCUGUUCCUGACUUGAAGAUGUCAGAAUCCAGACAGUGUUUUUGUCUCUUUAUCUGAUUCUUAUAACUGUGUUUUUAUUAUCUUCCCAACAAUGUCUGGUGAUAUUCUCACACCUUGGCUCACAGACCAUCAGAGCUGUCCAGAUAUUAAAGGACCUUUCAUUGCUGGAGCUCCAAAGAAGAUCAGGAGCACCAUUCGCAGACAUAACAAUGCCACUCUUCUGACCCAAGAGCAGUUCCAACUUUUAAGCUCUCUGGAGAAUAUUUACAUCAAUAAUAACAUUCCCUGGAAAUCUUACCUUGAACUGAAGACCUAUCAGAUAAAAGCAGAAGUCCUGCUAAAUCAAGGCCUCACAGAGGAAGCACUUGUGAUGUAUCACAAAUUUUCAACACUCUUUAUGGAGAAACUCAGAAAAGGCCCGAAUAAGUGUCUUUCAGCUCGAAUAAGAUCCAAAAUCAACAAGACUAUAAAUAACAUUUUUGAAAAAUUUGAGAGCCUUAAAUUCACACUCCGAAGAAAUCAUACUAAGGAGUAUGAAGGCUACCUAGAUAAGAUGAAAAGAAAAGAGGAAGAGGCAAAAAACAAGGCGUUCCGGAAGCAUAGAAAAUAUCAUGGACAAAACUCCCGAGACUUCCCCAAAUUCAGCUCUCUUCUACAAAGACUUAUGAGUCGUGGAAAGGUGGGCCCCAGCCUGACACCAACAUCUACAAAGUCUGAAGAGCCUUCAGGAGGAAGCACACCUGUGAAACAAACAGUGGUGUGUGGCCCACAGGAAGCCAUCGAGGAGAUAACCCCCACCCCUUCAGCAGACACUGCUGGGGAGACUAAGGUGGUGAAAAGCCCAGUUCCGAACUCCAAAGGCCUCCGCCCUGUGAUCCUUCCAAAAGACUUAUGGGAUAGGUUCCUGCUUUCUGCCAAAAACAACACGGAAAAAGGAGUGGAAACAUGCGGAGUCUUAUGUGGUACCCUGGAAAAGGAAGAAUACCACAUCAGUCAUGUUAUAAUCCCUGUGCAGAAGGGAACGUCUAAUUACUGUUGUAUGGAGAACGAGGAGGAACUCCUUUUUGUUCAAGAAGAGCUGGGGCUUCUCACCUUAGGUUGGAUUCAUACCCAUCCAACCCAGACAGCCUUCUUGUCGAGUGUGGAUUUACACACUCAUUUUUGCUACCAGAAGAUGCUCCCAGAAUCCAUUGCAGUGGUGUGUGCACCCAAAUAUAAACAGAGAAUGAAGGUUAAGGAAUCUGAAGAACACUGGACAAAUAAGACAACUGAAGAAAAGGGACAAAUCAUCUAUCCCAGGAAGCAGAGUGAAAUGGCGUAUGGGUAUAUAUUAUCUAAAAAAUUUUAUGUCUUCCUAAAUGUUUGUUUCUGCUUUUCUCUAAAGAUUUAACACUAUUGGUCUUCUAAUAAAUAGUCCCAGUCCAAUUAAAAUUUAAAGCUGACUUUGGAGUUGGAGAAUGGCUCUCUCCUUCUUUAAACUCAAACAUGUUGUUAAAAGGAAAAUGCAAAUUCCCUGUAUCAUGCCAGAAUAAAAGAGCCAUCUUCUGCUAUGAGACAGGAGAAAAGCCAAAUUAAUUAAGGGACUAUUCUAUUACUAAUCUCAACUCUUUGAUUCUAUUCUGAUUCUUUAAACUUUUCUUAAAGUAUAAAUUUUAUAUCAAAACUUACAAGAUUAAUAUAUAUAUAUAUAUAUAUAUAUAUAUAUAUAUAUACAUUUUAAACUUUGCUAAGAUAUGAAUGGUCAUAUAGAGUACUAAUUAAUUCUAAAAAAAAGGCUUCAAUUAGCUGCAUAUAUAUGUCUUUGUGUUCGAGUCUCUUAUCAGUUUUCUGCAGGAAUUCACGGCCAGGCCUAACAUCAACUGAAGUCUCCAGGAAGAAGUUGGGGCCCCACAACAACAACAAUUCCACAUGGACAAUAAUAACAUCACUAAGCUGACAAACAUCAUCUACAGAUCAGCUUUGAACUACAAGGUCUCCAUUGAUCCCAGACAUCAGCCUACAUGUCUCAUUUUGCUUGGAGGCUUCUUUGACAGACAAAUGACUUUUUGAAGAGAUUAGGCACAGAACUUGAAACUAACUGAUAAUGACAUAAUUUAAAGAGAAAUUUCUGACUCAGAUGAGUCUUAUUGCUUUUUGAGUGGCUGUAUGCCCUGAUGAGGCUUACCAACAAUGUACAAUUUCACAUAGAAUUUGGAGUUCCUGAUGCAGACUACAUGGUGUCUCCCUGGGUGAGAUGUUGCACUAUAGUCUGGCACAUGGAAACUGGGGAAAAAUGCCAGAGUUUAAAAGAGAAUAUUCUAUUAAUGGGGAUUCUCUGCUGGGUUACAAGAAGAACCUUUGGGCAUCACAUGUGAGGCUUAAACUCUUUAUUCAUUGAUCUUUUGGCUUUUGAUGAGUGAUUUUGAAGCUCCAGGGCAUCUCGUAUAGAAUAAGGAGCUCUGGAACAAAGUGGACCACCUCACAAGCCUAGAAAGGCAAGAGAAGAUGAGUGCAGCUCUGUGGACUGUGUCAUAGUUGUUUAAUGUAUCACAGCACGAGGUAGCCUUCCUCUCCUCCUCAUAGAUGAUCCAGUCUGACGACCAUGUUGUCCUGAAGACAGUCCUCCUGAGUGACCACUCUGGCUACAACACAACUCUAAAGGAUGUUUGGCCAAGAGAGAGAAGUCUACUUACCUAAAAAGCUUGUUUUGAAGUAUGUAAAGUUCCCUAGCUGUGAUGAACUCACCACUGAGGCUAAUGCUUACAGCAAACUGCAAAUAAAAAUGCUGUCCUGCGCAAGGGAUGCUGGGACAAAUUCACUGCCAGUGAUAGUCUGGCCAAAGCGGCUCACUAUGAACUGUGCUCGGGCACACACUCUCUCCUCAUGUUGGCCCUGUCUAGAAAUUUUCCAUAAAUUUCACAGAAACUUGUAUUUUCUUUAUAUAAGUGUGUUUUGAAACAGAUUUGUAGUUUCUUAAAAAUUCUAUUUAGUUCUAUAAUUAAAGUUGAGUUUUGUGUCAA